UAACUACUCCCUCCGUCCGAAAAUACUUGUCCUAAGAAUGAAUGUAUCUAUACUUAUUUUAGUUAUAGAUACAUCCAUUAUAUCCAUUAUUUCCAGACGGAGGGAGUAUUAA
rnacentral:pre_miRNA from 1 species